UGCCAGCAGCCGCGGUAAUACAUAGGGGCUAGUGUUAUUCGAAAUUACUGGGCGUAAAGAGUACGUAGGUUGCUUAUUAAGUUAUGAGUUAAAGACCUAAGCUUAACUUAGGUAAAGCUUAUAAAACUAUUAAGCUCGAAUUAGAUAGAGGGUAGUGGAAUUUCUAAUGGAGGGUUAAGUUCCGUAGAUAUUAGAAGGAACAUCAGAAGCGAAGGCGGCUACCUAGAUCUAAAUUGACACUGAGGUACGAAGGCGUAGGUAGCGAACAGGAUUAGAUA
rnacentral:rRNA from 1 species